ACUCACACCUGGCAGGGAGAUACCAUGAUCAUGAGGUGGUUUACCCACGACAGGCUCAGCAAUGUUGCCACUUCAGUUGUGCUGACCGUGUGAAUUCCCAAAUGUGGGAAUCUCGACGGCAUAAUUUGGUAGUGGGGGACUGCGUCCGCGCUCUCCCUGA